GGAGUGUAUUUAUAGGGUCAGUGCUAGUUCGUUGUUGGUUUAGCUGUCCUGAUCCUUGUCUCGUGAAGUUAUGGCCAAGUAAUUCUGUGUUAUCCAAGACCUUGACUUGCAUGACUGACAGCAGUGAAAAUAGUGGAAACUACUGACACGAAGGCACACAGCCAGAGAUGGAGGACUUUCACUGUUGCCCUAAAUGCCAGUGGCAUAGUGGACCGUAAUUAACAAAAUUCCAAGUUUUCUUUAACCCUUCCGAGACUCUGAUUUUGUUCGUGAAUUUGAAGAUGCAGCAUGACAGGAUCCUAAUCAAAAUCAGUCAAUCAAGGAAAGGGAGAACAUAUUAAAAAUGGGAAGGCAAUGAAGAGUGAAAAUCUGAAUAAUUGACAGUGAUCUCACCUGCAUCUUCCCCAUACCAAUCGCUCUGGACAUCCAUCAUAUUCGAGAAGGUGCCCCCUCCAUCCUCCGGACGCCCCCCA